rnacentral:rRNA from 1 species
AUUGAACGCUGGCGGAAUGCUUUACACAUGCAAGUCGAGCGGCAGCGCGGCCUUCGGGCUGGCGGCGAGCGGCGAACGGGUGAGUAAUGCAUCGGAACAUGCCCAGUCGUGGGGGAUAACACUUCGAAAGAAGUGCUAAUACCGCAUACGUCCUGAGGGGGAAAGCGGGGGAUCGCAAGACCUCGCGCGAUUGGAGUGGCCGAUGUCAGAUUAGCUAGUUGGUGGGGUAAAGGCCUACCAAGGCGACGAUCUGUAGCUGGUCUGAGAGGAUGAUCAGCCACACUGGGACUGAGACACGGCCCAGACUCCUACGGGAGGCAGCAGUGAGGAAUUUUGGACAAUGGGGGCAACCCUGAUCCAGCCAUUCCGCGUGAGUGAAGAAGGCCUUCGGGUUGUAAAGCUCUUUCGGCAGGAACGAAACGGUGGGCUCUAACAUAGUCCGCUAAUGACGGUACCUGAAGAAGAAGCACCGGCUAACUACGUG